GGCGGCCGCGGGCAGGCGGUGGUUUGCCCCCCGGUUUUGUACUUCUCUCGAAAGGAGGACGUGCGUUUUCCACGGGUUUCUGAGCCAACAGACCGUGAUCUGCACAGCGGCCCUCGCUCCAGCUUAGCACUUCAGCACUGAAACACUGUUCUUUAUCUGUUUCAUCUCUCUCCGUAAGGGUUAUGGACGGGUCUCCCGGACUCUGCGAGCUCCUUGCUGCCGGCCGCACUGGCACCGGGUAGAGCCCGGCGCUCCCGCACCGUUCGGCGGUGGGACAGACCGAACACUGCCUGCGGAUGGGGAAGUAGGAAAAGACAGCCUGUACCCGCAGGAGAGCCCGUGUUCCCAAGGAAAAUACUCCUGGGAUUGUUUAAAGCCUGUUUGCGAGCGCAGCUGGGAAGCUGCAAGGCGCCGGGGCCGUUCGGGGUCUCCAGGCGGGCUGAGGCCACACCGAAACACCACUUGCGAUGUAAAACCAAGUGUCAGAGACGUUGGGGUUUAUAUUUUAUCGUGUUCCUGCUCUAAUUUGUGUUAGCAGGGUUUGCCAAAGAGGUUUUUAUUGCCCACUGACAUUAGCUUCACAAUUCGAGCUCCCUACCACCGGGAUGAUAAAGUAAUUGCCCUCGCACCUAAUCUUAUUUACCUUCCUUCCCCCCCCCCCUCCAGUUUGGUGUUACAGACAGUUCUGUACAAGGUAUGGUGCAAUGCCAGGGACAGCCUAUGCUAAACUACAAACAAAUCCACCCACACAUUACUAGAGAGUAACUAUAAUAAAGGCUGAAAAGCGAGUUUUAA